rnacentral:rRNA from 1 species
CCUUGCAGCAUCUGGUGCCUGUGCACAUAUGAUGGUGUACUCUGGUGUGUCAACUCCUUUGAGAUUAAGCUGCUGCAUGGG